rnacentral:misc_RNA from 1 species
GAUGAAGAACGCAGCGAAAUGCGAUAACUAAUGUGAAUUGCAGAAUUCAGUGAAUCAUCGAGUCUUUGAACGCACAUUGCGCCCCCUGGUAUUCCGGGGGGCAUGCCUGUCCGAGCGUCAUUGCUGCCCAUCAAGCACGGCUUGUGUGUUGGGUCCCGUCCCCCUCUCCCGGGGGACGGACCCGAAAGGCAGCGGCGGCACCGCGUCCGGUCCUCGAGCGUAUGGGGCUUUGUCACCCGCUCUUGUAGGCCCGGCCGGCGCUUGCCGACACCCAACCAUUUUUUUCAGGUUGACCUCGGAUCAGGUAGGGAUACCCGCUGAACUUAAGCAUAUCAAUAAGCGGAGGA